GACGAACGCUGGCGGCGUGCUUAACACAUGCAAGUCGAACGGAAAGGCCCUGCUUUUGUGGGGUGCUCGAGUGGCGAACGGGUGAGUAACACGUGAGUAACCUGCCCUUGACUUUGGGAUAACUUCAGGAAACUGGGGCUAAUACCGGAUAGGAGCUCCUGCUGCAUGGUGGGGGUUGGAAAGUUUCGGCGGUUGGGGAUGGACUGGCGGCUUAUCAGCUGGUUGGUGGGGUAGUGGCUUACCAAGGCUUUGACGGGUAGCCGGCCUGAGAGGGUGACCGGCCACAUUGGGACUGAGAGACGGCCCAGACUGCUACGGGAGGCAGCAGUGGGGAAUAUUGCACAAUGGGCGGAAGCCUGAUGCAGCAACGCCGCGUGCGGGAUGACGGCCUUCGGGUUGUAAACCGCUUUCGCCUGUGACGAAGCGUGAGUGACGGUAAUGGGUAAAGAAGCACCGGCUAACUACGUG
rnacentral:rRNA from 1 species